CCGAUCCUCCCCAGUCUCCUGCAGGCCCUUCAAACUAGGCUUCAGAACCUUCCAAGACAUCCUGCCCAGCCCCUCCACCCGUGUCUCUUGUAGGCCCUUCCAACUGCAUUUCCAGAACCUUCCAGGCCAUCUUGCCCAGCCCCUCCUCCCUGGUCCCCUGCAGGCCCUUCCAACUGCGUUUCCAGAACCUUCCAGGCCAGCCCAGCCCAGCCCCUCCUCCCUGGUCUCCUGCAGGCCCUUCCAACUGGGGGUCCAGAACCUUCAGGCCAUCCUGGUCCAGCUCCUCCUCCCUGCUCUCUUGGAGGCCCUUCCAACUGCAGGGAAAUGCCGGUGACACAGGCGUGUUUUCGAGCUCUGCAGUGGAAACACACCACUUCCUCCCACUGAGUCAGGUAGCAAGUCAAACAGGAGCCGGGCACGAUCAGGGACAGGAGGCAGGAGUGGCCGGAGCCUGGCGCCCGGUUGGCUGCCCCAGGUGUCGCCGGCACGAGGCCCAGGGCCAGGCUGCCGCCUCACUGCUGCCGUCAGACCUGCAGGCCUGCUGGGCACUAGACGCUGUCUGUUCCGUGAUGCCCUAGGUGCUGCGGCCGCAGCUCUCGACUCCCCAUCCCAAACCUGUCAGCGUCUUCCCGCUGCCUGCACACGCGGGGUCCCUGCCAGGAGCACCCUCCGUCCCUGGGGCCCCUGCCCAUCCCCAGCAGAAGGUGCCCACCCUCGCCGUCCUGCGUGGGGGCUGUGGGAAGGCUGGAGGGCUCCUCCGGGUGGGGAGAGGUCGCACCCAGAAGGCUACAGCACUGGCCAGGCAGGCAGGUGGCCAGGUCCUGGGAAUGAUAUGGAGAAGCUUCCGGAAGCCCAAGAGUCUGGGAAAACCAGAACUGGAAGCCAGGUAGGAGCCUAAUAUUCCAAAUAUUUCCAUAAGAAAAUGUCGCCUGGCAUUUAGCAGACAGAGACCUUUCCCGGGCAAGGGGACCUGCGGAGCCCACAGGCGGGAACGCUGGCCCUCUGGCCUCGGUGGGAAGCUCCCCCUCAAGCGCAGCAGCUCCGGACACCCCGCCUGGGCCACUGCCUGCCCCCCUCUCCCAGCCUGGGCCCCACUCUUUGCACCCAGGCCAUCCUCUCCCAGCCGCAGCGUCUGUCUGAACUCCAGCUUUGGAAAGCCCGUGGUGACCCCAGUGCUUUUGCACGUCCGGUAAACACAGUGAGUGCCACCACCCGCCCCACCCAGCGGUGCUCCAGGUCCCUUUACUUCCGUUGCUCCAUCUAAAGGUUCCUACCAUCCCCUCAUGGAGGGGUCCAGGCGCCAGCAACCCUAUCUAGCUGCUAGUCUAGUCCCAAAGUCCAACUACUGCCACGGCCUUCCCUGAACACUUGGUAACCCCAGGCCCGCGGGCCACGAAGCUCGAGUAGUCUUUCCCGACCGCCAGAGACCCAGCAGGAUCCAGGUCACGUCUGCGCCCCUUGAAGGACUGAUUGCCCCUCAAGUUUUUCUAUCUCAAUCUCCAAUUUUAAUACAAUGCGAAGCUGCAUCAAGUAUAAGAUGUAUUUGUCAUUGUCA